GACGAACGCUGGCGGCGUGCUUAACACAUGCAAGUCGAGCGGUAAGGCCCUUUCGGGGGUACACGAGCGGCGAACGGGUGAGUAACACGUGGGUGACCUGCCCUUAGCUCUGGGAUAAGCCUGGGAAACUGGGUCUAAUACCGGAUAUGACUCCAUGACGCAUGUUGUGGGGUGGAAAGCCUUGUGCGGCUAGGGAUGGGCCCGCGGCCUAUCAGCUUGUUGGUGGGGUGAUGGCCACCAAGGCGACGACGGGUAGCCGGCCUGAGAGGGCGACCGGCCACACUGGGACUGAGACACGGCCCAGACUCCUACGGGAGGCAGCAGUGGGGAAUCUUGCGCAAUGGGCGAAAGCCUGACGCAGCGACGCCGCGU
rnacentral:rRNA from 1 species